rnacentral:rRNA from 1 species
UACGAAGGGGGCUAGCGUUGCUCGGAAUUACUGGGCGUAAAGCGUGCGCAGGCGGUUCGUGAUGUCUGAUGUGAAAGCCCCGGGCUCAACCUGGGAACUGCAUUGGAAACUAGCGGGCUGGAGUGUGGCAGAGGGGGGUGGAAUUCCACGUGUAGCAGUGAAAUGCGUAGAGAUGUGGAGGAACACCGAUGGCGAAGGCAGCCCCCUGGGCUAACACUGACGCUCAUGCACGAAAGCGUGGGGAGCAAACAGG